rnacentral:rRNA from 1 species
GACGAACGCUGGCGGCGUGCUUAACACAUGCAAGUCGACAUGAGUGGCGGACGGGUGAGUAAUGCCUGGGAAUCUGCCUGAUAGAGGGGGAUAACGUCUGGAACCGGGCGCUAAUACCGCAUACUAUCAGAUGAGCCCAGGUAGGAUUAGCUAGUUGGUGGGGUAACGGCGUACCAAGGCGACGAUCCCUAGCUGGUCUGAGAGGAUGAUCAGGCACACUGGAACUGAGACACGGUCCAGACUCCUACGUGAGGCAGCAGUGGGGAAUAUUGGACAAUGGGCGAAAGCCUGAUCCAGCCAUGCCGCGGGUGUGAAGAAGGUCUUCGGAUUGUAAAGCACUUUAAGUUGGGAGGCGUUACCAACAGAAAAAGCACCGGCUAACUACGUGCCAGCAGCCGCGGUAAUAC